AUGCUGUCUGCCUCUGUGUGUGUGUGCGUGCGUGGGUCCUCAUGGGGUAGAGAGUGUGGAAGGGGAGGAGCGAAGGGAGACAGAGCGGAGGGAGGGAGAGGAGGCUGCCCUGCAGCUUCCGCUCCUUCUCCUCCUUCUUCUAAGGUGGCCUCUUCCCAAGCAGACCUCUCCAAGGGGGCCCAGGGGGCCAUUUCCCCUGGCCUCCUAUCACAGAGGACGCUGCAGUUAGAUUCUUGGCUUUAUCUCCAGCUGCACACGUAACAAUCUUGGGGAGACACCAGAAAGGCUGAGCUGAAAAGACACUCAUUGGAAAAGUAAACCUGAGUCUCGUUGCCAGGCCCCACACCACUUGUAAUUGGUGAACUAUCAGUGAAAAUGUUACAAGUUCUGUAAUUUUCUUGAAAAUAGCAUAACAAUAUUGCACAGAGAUUUUAAACGGGGAAGAAAAGUUAUGACCAACCUAGAUAGCAUAUUCAAAAGCAGAGACAUUACUUUGCCAACAAAGGUCCGUCCAGUUAAGGCUAUGGUUUUUCCUGUAGUUGUGUAUGGAUGUAAGAGUUGGACUAUAAGGAAAGCUAAGUGUUGAAGAACU
rnacentral:lncRNA from 1 species